UACAGAGGUCUCAAGCGUUGUUCGGAUUCAUUGGGCGUAAAGGGUUCGUAGGUGGCUUACUAAGUCAGACGUGAAAUCCCUCAGCUUAACUGGGGAACUGCGUCUGAUACUGGAAAGCUUGAGUGCAGGAGAGGAACGCGGAAUUCCAGGUGUAGCGGUGAAAUGCGUAGAUAUCUGGAGGAACACCGGUGGCGAAGGCGGCGUUCUGGACUGCAACUGACACUGAGGAACGAAAGCCAGGGGAGCAAACGGG
rnacentral:rRNA from 1 species